CGGUGCUCAGAGAGGGGAUUGUUUUGUGAUGAAGCUGUUCACGAAACAGAGGAAAGCCCAAUAUCAACAAUUCCAGCCCAAUAAACACCACCCUACGAAGCCCAAAAGAAGGAGAGAUAGAGUGGAGUGGAGACGAUUCGUAAUCGUACGGAGUUAGAAGAGCCCUUAGACGAUUCGUAAUCACAUGUCGCCAUGAUGAUGUUGGAGCUUCUUCUCUCCGGCGAUAGUUUUAGGGGGGAGGGGAUCAUCAUCCCAUCGGAGAUUUGGGUGUGGUGGAUUCGUUUUUUCCCGGCAACGGUGUUGUGUACAGUUGAGUAUCACUCUAGAUUUGGGAGGGGUGGAUUCAUUCUCAGCGAGGCUUCAAUUAUCAAUUUUACAGGUUGGUGUGCCGGUUUAGUUUAUGCAGCAGGUAACCUUUCGUCUUCAGGAAUGCUUCAGGUAGAUAAUGAUGGACAAACUAAAAGACAGUGAGGAAGUUUCUGAAUCCAACACAAGUGUUACUAGUUGUUGAUGCCAAUGGCUACCUGGACAAGAAGCUGCUGCAGCUGUGGUGACAACAUUCAUUGUAGAGGUAUGUAUGAAUCACAGAAGCCAUUGCUUUGAGUGUCAAGGAGAUGCGUCAAGAAGAUUCUCUAGGUCUACAGAAGAAGUUAAUGAGUGCAAAGUUCUGACAUUAACGGUUUCCCAGAGCAGAAACGUAAGGAAACUGAGUCCAGCAAAAUCCUAGAAGCAGCAAUGAUUGAAGUGAUUUGACACCAGAGACAAGGGAGAACUGCAGGGAGGCUUCGCUUCAGAUAUAUGGUGAACUGACACCUCCAAGCGAAGCAGAUCUAGAGGGAGACAAGCUUGAGAUUAUGAUACUUAAGGCUGACGGCAUCAAGACUGAACUCAUGGACUUGAGGAAAAGCUCUUUUCGUGCAUUAAUUAGCCAGCCAUGUCCUUCUGCCAUUAUAUUUCUGGACAGCUUAUCCCAGUUCCCCCAUCCAUGUGGUCUCCAUAACCCUUUCAAAUCUCCAGAGAGAUAACUUGUCAUUUUAGCUGAACAGGUUGGUGUGCCGGUUUAUCCAGCAGGGACUGAUGUUAAAAAACCUGCAGAUGUGUAGCUAAUAAGCAGGAGUGCUGCUGAACUCUUAUUGUCUAGAAGAAAGCAAGAUACAAAACUGCAUCGUUAUCACUUAGGUGUUUUGGAAGCGAAUUAUGAUAUGAUCAGGUCACUGCAUAUUCUUCUCCAUGCUUUCUCACAGGUUCCUUGCUUUUAACGCAUCUCUAUUUGCCUUAUGAAUUUUCACUUCGAUUCGGUGUUUUUUUUUCUUCUAAUUACAUGUUACUUACUUAUCGUUUUUUGUUUUGUUGGCUCACAUUUGUGGAGGAGGAUCCUAAUUAAUGUCUGUGAUAGUGAGGGUUUUGAUGGACACGCUAGCUUCUUCUUUGUGCUAAUUACUGUCUCUUGACAAGGGUUUUGUUCUUCCUCUUUCAGCACUUCUUAACGCUCCUUUCUUCUUCGUCUUGCAGGUGUUGCGGAAGGGAACUAUUAUCGGAUCAUCACUUAUUCCUUUCCAGGCUCCAGAUUCGCGGAUGGCUUUUUGACCGAUUGUCACUCUGAUGAUUCAUGUUAUUCUUCUAGGGUUUUGGAUGAUGCUUCUAUCGAUGAGAGUGAUGGCUUCGUCUCUUUGCUAACCGUCUUCAAGGAUGUUGUGGAAGCAAAUUAUGAUCAGAUCAUCGCGCAAUUUUCUCUAGGCCUACGUCUCCAAGCCUUCUCACAGAUGUAAGGAGGAGGAUCCUUUGAUUGAUCGGUGAUGGCUUUGACUGAUCGUUGUCACUCCAAUUCAUGUUUUUGGAUGAUGCUUUUAUCGAUGAGAGUGAUGAUGGCUCAAGGACACGAUUCACUUCUUCUCUUUUCUAACGUCUUCAAGGGUUUUGUUCUUCCUCUUAACACUUCUUUUACUCUCGUUUUUUUGUUCUAUACAUUCUUUUCCUCUUCGUCUUGCAGGUGUUUUGGAAGCGAGUUAUGAUAUGAUCAGGUCACUGCAUAUUCUUCUCCAAGCUUUCUCACAGGAUCCUACCAACCAUUGUCACUCUAAUUCAGGUUGUGGAGUAUCGGUCGGUGAUGCUUUUGAUGUAUCCUUUUUGUCUACUAUGCGCUACAUCUUCAGGUAGUUUUCUUCCUCCUAACGAAAAUCUUGUCUUUUGUUGCAGAAACUCAGGUUACUAACUAGUGUCUUAGGUCUGCUAAACCUGAAUAUUUUUAAGUUGUUUUCUUUGUGUGCUAAAUCUGCCAAUUAAUGUCUUUUUUUUUUUUAAGUCUCUUAGAUGGUACGCUUAUGUCUGAGCUCCUCUUAUGCACAAAGCUAGUUGGACUUGUCUCUUCCACUUUUUCUUUGUUAAUAAUCUAUGUAUCUCUCA